rnacentral:rRNA from 1 species
GCUUGUCUCAAAGAUUAAGCCAUGCAUGUCUUAGUGUAAAUAACUCUUAUGAAACUGCGAAUGGCUCAUUAAAUCAGUUAUCAAAUACGUGAUGGUCGCCUACUACAUGGAUAACCGUAGUAAUUCUAGAGCUAAUACAUGCACAAAGGCCCAUUCACGUGGGUUGUGAUUAUUAGAUUUAAGGCCAACCGAGCUUGCUCGUCUCUUGGUGAAUCAUGAUAACUUCACGAAUCGCAUGGCCUCGCGCCGGCGAUAUUUCAUUCAAAUUUCUGCCCUAUCAAUUGGCGAUGGUAGGAUAGAGGCCUACCAUGGUGUUAACGGGUGACGGGGGAUUAGGGUUCGAUUCCGGAGAGGCAGCCUGAGAAACGGCUACCACAUCCAAGGAAGGCAGCAGG